rnacentral:sRNA from 1 species
GGGUUCGACGGAAGGAGCGGCGGCGACGGAGGAGGAGGAGGAGGAGGAUGGAGGCGGUGGUGUUCGUCUUCUCUCUCCUCGAUUGUUGCGCGCUCAUCUUCCUCUCGGUCUACUUCGCCAGUUGCAGUGGCUGACACCUGUCCCCAGUACUUUGGGAGGCCGAGGAGGGAGAAUCACUUGAGCCCAGGGGUUCGAGACCAGCUCUGGUAACAUAGGGAGACUUCCUCUCUACAAAAAUAAAACAAAAGGAAAAAAAAAAAGAAACAUGUUUCAGGUCUGUGUCUGUGUAAUACAAAGAUGAUUGCAGCCUACAGUAAGAAAUCCAGAGACUGAAGGCUAUAGCUUUAGGGAUCUGAUAUGGAUCGGAGAGUAUUAGUAUAACAUCAGCUGACAUUUUAUUGAGUGCCUACUUUGCAUGUGGCUUACAUGUUAUUUCAUCUAAUUCUCUACAACAACUUCGUGAGUGGGUAAUUCCAGAAUUGAUUGGCCAUACCAUUGUCACUGUAUUACUGCUCAUUUCAUUGCACUGGUUCAUCUUCCUUCUCAACUUACCUGUUGCCACUUGGAAUAUAUAUCGAUACAUUAUGGUGCCGAGUGGUAACAUGGGAGUGUUUGAUCCAACAGAAAUACACAAUCGAGGGCAGCUGAAGUCACACAUGAAAGAAGCCAUGAUCAAGCUUGGUUUCCACUUGCUCUGCUUCUUCAUGUAUCUUUAUAGUAUGAUCUUAGCUUUGAUAAAUGACUGAAGCUGGAGAAGCCGUGGUUGAAGUCAGCCUACACUACAGUGCACAGUUGAGGAGCCAGAGACUUCUUAAAUCAUCCUUAGAACCGUGACCAUAGCAGUAUAUAUUUUCCUCUUGGAACAAAAAACUAUUUUUGCUGUAUUUUUACCAUAUAAAGUAUUUAAAAAACAUGAAUUGAG